ACAGCAGUAGCCGCGGUAACACAGAGGGUGCGAGCGUUAAUCGGAUUUACUGGGCGUAAAGCGUGCGUAGGCGGCUUCUUAAGUCGGAUGUGAAAUCCCUGAGCUUAACUUAGGAAUUGCAUUCGAUACUGGGAAGCUAGAGUAUGGGAGAGGAUGGUAGAAUUCCAGGUGUAGCGGUGAAAUGCGUAGAGAUCUGGAGGAAUACCGAUGGCGAAGGCAGCCAUCUGGCCUAAUACUGACGCUGAGGUACGAAAGCAUGGGGAGCAAACAGGAUUAGAUACCCGGGUAGUCCCUGUCUCUUAUAC
rnacentral:rRNA from 1 species